rnacentral:rRNA from 1 species
AUUGAACGCUGGCGGCAUGCUUUACACAUGCAAGUCGAACGGUAACAGGCCGCAAGGUGCUGACGAGUGGCGAACGGGUGAGUAAUGCAUCGGAACGUGCCCAGUCGUGGGGGAUAACGCAGCGAAAGCUGUGCUAAUACCGCAUACGAUCUGUGGAUGAAAGCGGGGGACCGUAAGGCCUCGCGCGAUUGGAGCGGCCGAUGUAAGAUUAGGUAGUUGGUGGGGGAAAGGCUCACCAAGCCGACGAUCUGUAGCUGGUCUGAGAGGACGACCAGCCACACUGGGACUGAGACACGGCGCAGACUCCUACGGGAGGCAGCAGUGGGGAAUUUUGGACAAUGGGCGCAAGCCUGAUCCAGCAAUGCCGCGUGCAGGAAGAAGGCCUUCGGGUUGUAGAGGACUUUUGUCCGGGAGCAAAUACCCAGUGCUAAUAACGCUGGGGGCUGAGAGUACCGGAAGAAUAAGCACCGGCUAACUACGUGCCAGCCGCCGCAGUAAUAC